AACUUAAAGAAGUUAGAUAGAUCUGUAGUCCCAAAGUACUUACAGAGCAAUUUAUUAAGACUUGGGUUCCUGGGAAAGUUUUAUUCUAUUACUCAGUUAUUGUCUUCAAUUGAUAAAAGAAGUUGUGUUUUUCCUUACUUCUUUAUCAGCAUCAUUGCUUUGUGCAUCUUUGAUGAUGGUAUUAUGAAGAAGGAUUUGCUUCUGAGGUAUAGGUAUGAUUGCUACAAAUAAAAUAUGCCUCCUACAAAUAAACAAAAACCU
rnacentral:lncRNA from 1 species